rnacentral:rRNA from 1 species
AUUGAACGCUGGCGGCAGGCCUAACACAUGCAAGUCGAGCGGAUGAAGGGAGCUUGCUCCUGGAUUCAGCGGCGGACGGGUGAGUAAUGCCUAGGAAUCUGCCUGGUAGUGGGGGAUAACGUCCGGAAACGGGCGCUAAUACCGCAUACGUCCUGAGGGAGAAAGUGGGGGAUCUUCGGACCUCACGCUAUCAGAUGAGCCUAGGUCGGAUUAGCUAGUUGGUGGGGUAAAGGCCUACCAAGGCGACGAUCCGUAACUGGUCUGAAAGGAUGAUCAGUCACACUGGAAAUGAGACACGGUCCAGACUCCUACGGGAGGCAGCAGUGGGGAAUAUUGGAAAAUGGGCGAAAGCCUGAUCAAGCCAUGCCGCGUGUGUGAAGAAGGUCUUCGGAUUGUAAAGAACUUUAAGUUGGGAGGAAGGGAAGUAAGUUAAAACCUUGCUGUUUUGACGUUACCAACAGAAUAAGCACCGGAUAACUUCGUG